CCGAGUUGUAAUUUGUAGAGGAUGCUUCGGGCGUGGCCGCGGUCUAAGUCCCCUGGAACGGGGCGUCGCAGAGGGUGAGAAUCCCGUCUUCGGCCGGCCGGCUUCGCCCAUGUGAAGCUCCUUCGACGAGUCGAGUUGUUUGGGAAUGCAGCUCUAAAUGGGUGGUAAAUUUCAUCUAAAGCUAAAUACUGGUCGGAGACCGAUAGCGCACAAGUAGAGUGAUCGAAAGAUGAAAAGCACUUUGAAAAGAGAGUUAAACAGCAUGUGAAAUUGUUGAAAGGGAAGCGCUUGCGACCAGAGUCGGCCGCGGGGGUUCAGCGGGCAUUCGUUGCCCGUGCACUCCCCCGUGGCCGGGCCAGCGUCGGUUUCGACGGUCGGUCAAAGGCCCCCGGAAUGUGUCACCCUUCGGGGUGUCUUAUAGCCGGGGGUGCAAUGCGGCCAGUCGGGACCGAGGAACGCGCUUCGGCACGGACGCUGGCUUAAUGGUCGUAAGCGACCCGUCUUGAAACACGGACCAAGGAGUCUAACAUCCACGCGAGUGUUCGGGUGUCAAACCCGUCCGCGCAGUGAAAGCGAACGGAGGUGGGAACCCUUAAGGGUGCACCAUCGACCGAUCCAGAAGUCUUCGGAUGGAUUUGAGUAAGA
rnacentral:rRNA from 1 species